rnacentral:rRNA from 1 species
GCAGCAGCCGCGGGAAUACAGAGGGUGCGAGCGUUAAUCGGAUUUACUGGGCGUAAAGCGUGCGUAGGCGGCUUCUUAAGUCGGAUGUGAAAUCCCUGAGCUUAACUUAGGAAUUGCAUUCGAUACUGGGAAGCUAGAGUAUGGGAGAGGAUGGUAGAAUUCCAGGUGUAGCGGUGAAAUGCGUAGAGAUCUGGAGGAAUACCGAUGGCGAAGGCAGCCAUCUGGCCUAAUACUGACGCUGAGGUACGAAAGCAUGGGGAGCAAACAGGAUUAGAUACCCGUGUAGUCCCUGUCUCUUAUAC